rnacentral:lncRNA from 1 species
GCAAUUUGUAUUAUAUAACUAAAGGUAUACCUGUUUCUUCGAGGGCCUUGGUAUUCCUAAAACAUAUGAGUCAUAUUAUCUGGACCGUUCACUUAUACAGAUUUAAUAUUUUUGAAGCUUUCUCAUCAUAACAUUAUGUAGAUUCGCUUGAUAAUAUCACAUGAUAUUUUCAUAAGUAAUUUUUGCUGUUAAAUAAUAAAUAUGUAUUCAUAGAUACAUUAUAUAUUGAGUCACUUUGCUAUGUAAUUUGAAGUAAAGUUGAAGAGACUUUAUGUUAAAUGGACGACAAUGAACUCCGAAGGGAUGCGUGAUUGAUAAAAGUUCACUUCCUGUCUCUUAUCAUAAACUAACUAAGAUGAUCGUUAUACACGUACACCUACUCACACAAAUAAUGUGUGAAUUGUUUUCUUGUCAAUUCUUGUGGACUAUGCAGUCGAAACAGAAUGUUUUUUCUAAAUUAAACACAAAAUCAAAUGUCAGAGGAAGAAUUAUUAAUUAUUAGAAUUGAUAACAUGAUAAGUGAGUUUGGAAAACAGCAAUAUCCCGUUUAGUCUGAAUUCAAUUAGACUGAUUUGUUAAAGCACGAUUUUUCAUUCUAUGGUCCAGUUGUUCCCCACUGGGGCUCCGCCGUGCAUCAACAUCAUCAACAAAUGUUAUAAGUUUAAGAAAAACAAUCCUAGAACCAAAUAUUGCCCUCCCCUACUCCCCACAAAAAAUAUAGAUUGGAUCUCCAAAGUGAUGAAAAGGUUGAGAAUCCCUGCAAUGGUUCUUUAAGUUUAAUAAAAUAUAUCAUUUAAAAUUUAAAUACACGUAAAUACAAUUAAUAAUUAUUAGUUAGUAUAAAUAGACGAACACACGAUCGAACCUCAACUGUUAAAAGAGAAAAAUGCAUGUGACUUCGGAUUUUAUGAAGAAACGUCUAGCCCUUGGAUUGAAUUGGUCUCUAAGGGAUGAUUGACUUACGAUCCCCUCGCACGGAAUUGACGCAACCCCAAACGUAUUUGAAAGGUUGCAUAUUCAUCUAAUUGAAUUAUAUCCUAACUGGUCUAAAGAAGUCAUCAUAUCCUUUGUGGAACAAGUACAAGAAUUAGAGUAAAUAAAUAAAUAGGAGUAAAAAGCUCAAACUGAAGAACGCAAGUACUACUCUGAGAAAACUCGGACACAGAUUGGUCAAUUUACAAAUUAAUAUUUAUUAUUCAUGACUGCAUGUAAAAAAAUAUGUAUGCUAUAAUUUAUACUUAUUUUUACAAAUUUACAAAAUUAUUUUACUCACCCCUCUUAUAUUAUGUAAUAAAAUGGCAAAUUAGAUAAUAUACAUAA